UACGAAGGGGGCUAGCGUUGUUCGGAAUUACUGGGCGUAAAGGGCUCGUAGGUGGCCAACUAAGUCGGACGUGAAAUCCCUCAGCUUAACUGGGGAACUGCGUCCGAUACUGGAUGGCUUGAGUUUGGGAGAGGGAUGCGGAAUUCCAGGUGUAGCGGUGAAAUGCGUAGAUAUCUGGAGGAAUACCGGUGGCGAAGGCGGCAUCCUGGACCAUUACUGACGCUUAAGCGCGAAAGCUAGGGGAGCAAACGGG
rnacentral:rRNA from 1 species